rnacentral:rRNA from 1 species
UUAAAUUGAAGAGUUUGAUCAUGGCUCAGAUUGAACGCUGGCGGCAGGCCUAACACAUGCAAGUCGAACGGUAACAGGAAACAGCUUGCUGUUUCGCUGACGAGUGGCGGACGGGUGAGUAAUGUCUGGGAAACUGCCUGAUGGAGGGGGAUAACUACUGGAAACGGUAGCUAAUACCGCAUAAUGUCGCAAGACCAAAGAGGGGGACCUUCGGGCCUCUUGCCAUCGGAUGUGCCCAGAUGGGAUUAGCUAGUAGGUGGGGUAACGGCUCACCUAGGCGACGAUCCCUAGCUGGUCUGAGAGGAUGACCAGCCACACUGGAACUGAGACACGGUCCAGACUCCUACGGGAGGCAGCAGUGGGGAAUAUUGCACAAUGGGCGCAAGCCUGAUGCAGCCAUGCCGCGUGUAUGAAGAAGGCCUUCGGGUUGUAAAGUACUUUCAGCGGGGAGGAAGGGAGUAAAGUUAAUACCUUUGCUCAUUGACGUUACCCGCAGAAGAAGCACCGGCUAACUCCGUGCCAGCAGCCGCGGUAAUACGGAGGGUGCAAGCGUUAAUCGGAAUUACUGGGCGUAAAGCGCACGCAGGCGGUUUGUUAAGUCAGAUGUGAAAUCCCCGGGCUCAACCUGGGAACUGCAUCUGAUACUGGCAAGCUUGAGUCUCGUAGAGGGGGGUAGAAUUCCAGGUGUAGCGGUG